GAUGAAGAACGUAGCGAAAUGCGAUAAGUAAUGGGAAUUGCAGAAUUCAGUGAAUCAUCGAAUCUUUGAACGCACAUUGCGCCCCUUGGUAUUCCGGGGGGCAUGCCUGUUCGAGCGUCAUUACAACCCUCAAGCUCUGCUUGGUCUUGGGCGUCACCGGUCCCCGGUGUGCCUUAAAAUCAGUGGCGGCGCCAUCUGGCUCUAAGCGUAGUACAUACUCUCGCUACAGACGUCCGGUGGAUGCUGGCCAGCAACCCCCAAUUUAUCAAGGUUGACCUCGGAUCAGGUAGGGAUACCCGCUGAACUUAAGCAUAUCAAUAAGCGGAGGA
rnacentral:misc_RNA from 1 species